rnacentral:RNase_P_RNA from 1 species
AGCAGGAUAGAUAAUCGCGGGGACUUUUAUAGUCCGUGAGGAAAGUCCGGGCAUCACAGGGCAGGAUGCUGGAUAACGUCCAGUUGAGGUGACUCACAGGAAAGUGCAGCAGAAAAUAUACCGCUCUAUAUGAGUAAGGGUGAAAAGGCGAGGUAAGAGCUCACCGCCUGGCUGGUGACAGACAGGGCAUUGUAAACCCCAUCCGAUGCAAGACCAAGCAGAAGCGUUGACGCGGCCCGCCGAGCUUCAGGUAGGUUGCUUGAAUCCUGUAGUAAUACAGGAUCUAGAUAGAUGAUUAUCCCCGACAGAACCCGGCUUACAGUCCUGCUCCA